rnacentral:tRNA from 1 species
AGUCUUGGUUAAAAUCCAAGGAAAGAUA